rnacentral:rRNA from 1 species
GUGGGGAAUAUUGGACAAUGGGCGCAAGCCUGAUCCAGCCAUACCGCGUGAGUGAAGAAGGCCCUCGGGUUGUAAAGCUCUUUUGUCCGGAAAGAAAUCUUCCAGGUUAAUACCCUGGGAGGAUGACGGUACCGGAAGAAUAAGCACCGGCUAACUUCGUGCCAGCAGCCGCGGUAAUACGAAGGGUGCAAGCGUUACUCGGAAUUACUGGGCGUAAAGCGUGCGUAGGUGGUUCGUUAAGUCUGAUGUGAAAGCCCUGGGCUCAACCUGGGAAUUGCAUUGGAUACUGGCGGGCUAGAGUGCGGUAGAGGAUGGCGGAAUUCCCGGUGUAGCAGUGAAAUGCGUAGAGAUCGGGAGGAACAUCCGUGGCGAAGGCGGCCAUCUGGACCAGCACUGACACUGAGGCACGAAAGCGUGGGGAGCAAACAGGAUUAGAAACCCUAGUAGUCC